UACGGAGGGGGCUAGCGUUAUUCGGAAUUAUUGGGCGUAAAGGGCGCGUAGGCGGCCCGGUAAGUCAAAGGUGAAAUCCCUCGGCUCAACUGAGGAACUGCCUUUGAAACUGUCGGGCUUGAGGCCGGGAGGGGGUAGCGGAAUUCCCAGUGUAGCGGUGAAAUGCGUAGAUAUUGGGAGGAACACCGGUGGCGAAGGCGGCUACCUGGACAAUUGCUGACGCUCAGGCACGAAAGCGUGGGGAGCAAACAGG
rnacentral:rRNA from 1 species